rnacentral:lncRNA from 1 species
AUAAAGUGAGGAGUGAGCUUUUAGACUUCAGGGCUCUUCCCACACAAGACACUGGAGUGACUCUAAAAAAAACGUGAUCGCCAUCCUGAAUUUAAGAUCCUUUCUCCGCUUUUCAUGAUGACUAUUCUCCCUACUCUAAGAUGCUUUCAUCUUCUCUUGAAUUACUUUAACUUUCUCAGUCGUCUGCUGCAUAAUUUAUGGUCUAAGUAUAGUGCUCUCUCUAGAAUCAUACUAACAUAGAGGAG